UAAGCAUAUCAAUAAGCGGAGGAAAAGAAACCAACAGGGAUUGCCCUAGUAACGGCGAGUGAAGCGGCAACAGCUCAAAUUUGAAAUCUGGCUUCGGCCCGAGUUGUAAUUUGCAGAGGAAGCUUUAGGCGCGGCACUUUCUGAGUCCCCUGGAACGGGGCGCCAUAGAGGGUGAGAGCCCCGUAUAGUUAGAUGCCUAGCCUGUGUAAAGCUCCUUCGACGAGUCGAGUAGUUUGGGAAUGCUGCUCAAAAUGGGAGGUAAAUUUCUUCUAAAGCUAAAUACCGGCCAGAGACCGAUAGCGCACAAGUAGAGUGAUCGAAAGAUGAAAAGCACUUUGAAAAGAGGGUUAAAUAGCACGUGAAAUUGUUGAAAGGGAAGCGCUUGUGACCAGACUUGCGCCGGGCAGAUCAUCCGGUGUUCUCACCGGUGCACUCUGCCCGGCUCAGGCCAGCAUCGGUUCUCGCGGGGGGAUAAAGGCCCUGGGAACGUAGCUCCUCCGGGAGUGUUAUAGCCCGGGGCGUAAUGCCCUCGCGGGGACCGAGGUUCGCGCAUCUGCAAGGAUGCUGGCGUAAUGGUCAUCAGCGACCCGUCUUGAAACACGGACCAAGGAGUCAAGGUUUUGCGCGAGUGUUUGGGUGUAAAACCCGCACGCGUAAUGAAAGUGAACGUAGGUGAGAGCUUCGGCGCAUCAUCGACCGAUCCUGAUGUUUUCGGAUGGAUUUGAGUAGGAGCGUUAAGCCUUGGACCCGAAAGAUGGUGAACUAUGCUUGGAUAGGGUGAAGCCAGAGGAAACUCUGGUGGAGGCUCGCAGCGGUUCUGACGUGCAAAUCGAUCGUCAAAUCUGAGCAUGGGGGCGAAAGACUAAUCGAACCAUCUAGUAGCUGGUUACCGCCGAAU
rnacentral:rRNA from 1 species